CGUUUCCUCUUUUCAGCCCACG
rnacentral:miRNA from 1 species